AAACCGUUCAGGGGUAAACCUGAGAAACCCAAAAGAUCGAAUGGGGAGAUUCAUCGUCAGCUCAUUUUGUAUAUGUAUAAGUUAUGAUAUGGGUUACUACUUGUAGUAUUGCCUGUACAUUCUUGUAUAUUUAAUUGCAGAGUGUUGUCGGCGUGCACUUCUCCCCUAGUAGGACGUCGCGACCCGUUGAGUGUCGGUCUACGGCCCAAGUGGUAGCCUUUGAUUCUUUGAAUUAAAGACCCUUGGUGUUUCCUGGCUGGCUACUCGGCGGUAUUCGUACGGUAUUAAGCCGCAAUUAAUGCGUUCAUAUCCGUCGCAAGCGCGGUUAAUUUUUAGCAGUACGGACCUAGUGCCGUCGCUAUAAUUGAUCAGCUGUUGGUUGUACGGUAUUCUAGAACUGGCUUUCAUACCGGUCAGCGAUGCUUCAGCUUUGGGUACUUUCAGGA
rnacentral:rRNA from 1 species